AGGGCACCACCAGGAGUGGAGCCUGCGGCUUAAUUUGACUCAACACGGGAAAACUCACCCGGCCCGGACACCGUAAGGAUUGACAGAUUGAUAGCUCUUUCAUGAUUCGGUGGUUGGUGGUGCAUGGCCGUUCUUAGUUCGUGGAUCGAUUUGUCUGGUUUAUUCCGAUAACGAGCGAGACUCUAGCCUACUAAAUAGUAACGGGAUUACUCUUGUCCCGGUUGCUUCUUAGAGGGAUUUUCGGUGUUUAGCCGCACGAGAUUGAGCAAUAGCAGGUCUGUGAUGCCCUUAGAUGUCCGGGGCUGCACGCGCGCUACACUGGCGAAAUCAGCGUGCUGUAUCCAUUCUCGAAAGGGAUUGGUAAACCCAUGAAAAUUUGCCGUGCUUGGGAUCGGAAAUUGCAAUUAUUUUCCGUGAACGAGGAAUUCCAAGUAAGUGCGAGUCAUCAACUCGCUCUGAUUACGUCCCUGCCCUUUGUACACACCGCCCGUCGCUGCCCGGGACUGAGCCAUUUCGAGA
rnacentral:rRNA from 1 species